rnacentral:rRNA from 1 species
GGGUCAGUAGGUUGGUCGUGCCACCGGUACGUACUGGUCUCACUGAUUCCUCCUUCCUGAAGAACCGUAAUGCCAUUAAUUUGGUGUUGCGGGGAAACAGGACUGUUACUUUGAAAAAAUUAGAGUGUUUAAAGCAAGCUAACGCUUGAAUACAUCAGCAUGGAAUAAUAAAAUAGGACGAUCGAUCCUAUUUUGUUGGUUUCUAGGAUUGACGUA